UACGGGGGGGGCAAGCGUUGUUCGGAAUUACUGGGCGUAAAGGGCUCGUAGGCGGCCAACUAAGUCAGACGUGAAAUCCCUCGGCUUAACCGGGGAACUGCGUCUGAUACUGGAUGGCUUGAGUUCGGGAGAGGGAUGCGGAAUUCCAGGUGUAGCGGUGAAAUGCGUAGAUAUCUGGAGGAACACCGGUGGCGAAGGCGGCGUCCUGGACCAACACUGACACUGAGGAGCGAAAGCCAGGGGAGCAAACGGG
rnacentral:rRNA from 1 species